CCUACGGGCGGCAGCAGUGGGGAAUAUUGGACAAUGGGGGCAACCCUGAUCCAGCCAUGCCGCGUGUGUGAAGAAGGCCCUCGGGUUGUAAGGCACUUUCAGUGAGGAAGAACGCCUGGUGGUUAAUACCCAUCAGGAAAGACAUCACUCACAGAAGAAGCACCGGCUAACUCCGUGCCAGCAGCCGCGGUAAUACGGAGGGUGCGAGCGUUAAUCGGAAUUACUGGGCGUAAAGCGCGCGUAGGUGGCUUGAUAAGCCGGUUGUGAAAGCCCCGGGCUCAACCUGGGAACGGCAUCCGGAACUGUCAAGCUAGAGUGCAGGAGAGGAAGGUAGAAUUCCCGGUGUAGCGGUGAAAUGCGUAGAGAUCGGGAGGAAUACCAGUGGCGAAGGCGGCCUUCUGGACUGACACUGACACUGAGGUGCGAAAGCGUGGGUAGCAAACAGGAUUAGAUACCCUAGUAGUC
rnacentral:rRNA from 1 species